UACAGAGGGUGCAAGCGUUGUCCGGAAUCACUGGGCGUAAAGGGCGCGUAGGCGGCUCGGUAAGUAGGGGGUGAAAUCCUGCGGCUUAACCGCAGGGCUGCCUUCUAAACUGUCGGGCUCGAGCACAGUAGAGGCAGGUGGAAUUCCCGGUGUAGCGGUGGAAUGCGUAGAGAUCGGGAAGAACAUCAGUGGCGAAGGCGGCCUGCUGGGCUGUUGCUGACGCUGAGGCGCGACAGCGUGGGGAGCAAACAGG
rnacentral:rRNA from 1 species